ensembl:rRNA 5S_rRNA 5S ribosomal RNA
AGCCACAACUAUAUCACCCAGCAGCCCAAGACGGUUACUCACUGAAGCUAAGCAGGGCUAAGCCUGGCCAGUACCUGGAUGGGAGUCCACAUAAGAAAACUAGGUUGGUGUUGGAA